rnacentral:rRNA from 1 species
AAGGUAUUGAAUAAGAUUUUAAUUGAAUGCUAAGAGAAUGGAAUUACACGAAAAAACUUUUUUUAAAUUAAAAAUUGAACUUUUUUUAAUUUGUGCAGAAACAAUUAUUAAUAUUAAGGACAAGAAGACCCUAUGAAUUUAUAAAAUUUUUAAGUAAUAUUUAAUUAUUGUCAUAAAAAUUUUAGCUGGGGAGGCGGAAAAAUAUUAAAAACUUUUUAAAAAUAAAAUGAUCCAUUACUAGUGAUUAUAUGUUAAAUA